CUUGGCCGCCUUUGUGAUGUUCUAUUCCCUUCAACCCUGUAAAUGUACUAGGCAGGAAGGCAAUUGUUGAAUCACCGCUUUACUUUCCCCCUUAUGAUUUGGCGUUAUUUCGGUUAUUGUUAUUAUUGAUCAGAAUCUUGGUAAUUAGUGUAUGAUCAAAAUUCAGGAUAAUUAUUUUGUGAUCAAGAUACAAGUAGUUAUUGUAUGAUCAAGAUUCCGGGUAAUUGUUGUGGCUUAUCUUUAUUUUUGAUAUGGGUCAUUUAUUGUUGAUACUUGGCUAAUUUUCGUUUAAUUUGGAUAACUAUUGUUGUUCAAGAUUCUGGGUAGUUAUGGUUUGUUCAAGAUACUGGGUGAUUAUUGUUGAUCAGAAUAAUGGGUAAUUGUUGCAUACAAUUCUCUUCAGAAGAUGAGUUGAUGCCUUCCUUUGGGAGCGCUCGAUUGUGCAAUGAUUCCAUUCCGGGAUUCCGUGCUUCGAAAAGUCUUUUUUGAUGUGUCGGUGGCAGCCUAUGUGUUUGAUUUUUGAUUUCUUGGUCAUCUCAGGAUUAUAUAAAUCUGAAGUUUUUGAUAUGGUUAAAUUACUGUUUGAUCAAGAUAAUCGGUAAAUUAUGUUGAUUAAGAUAUAGACAAUUAUUGUUUGAUCAAAGAUAAUGGGUAAUUAUUGUAUAUUAUUCUCUUCGGAAGAUAAGCUGAUGCCUUCCUUCGGGUAAAUAUUCCGCACUUUAAAGUCCUUUUUGAUGUGUUCCUGUAGUAGCAUAUGUGUUUGGCUUUUGAUUCUUGUCGAUCUCAGAAUUAUUUAAAUCUCACGUUAUCUACUUUCCAAUCUAUGGAAAUCUUUGAUCAUCUCUUUAGAGAAGGAAUGCUAGGGGUUUGGGGUUUACCUUUUCAGUUUACAAUUGUUUUUUCUAAUUUAUUGAUUCUUUAUUGUUGUUUGUUUGAUCAGGUAUGGGUAAUGACCCCUGUUAAUGUUACCUUGGUCUCAAUGUUAAGUCUUCAGAUUUUGUUGUGACAAUUCGUGUGUUUUGUCAAACUCUGUAACCUAGAAAUUUCCUUUUGUUGAAUCACAAAUCACAAUACAAGUAUGAUUGGAGAUUUGGUUCGCAUGCAUUGCUUGCUUGGAUCUUCUAGUCUAGUGGAGAUGUCAGUUUGGAUUUGAUAUCUUGACUUCCAUCUUUAAUGCUAAUUAUGAUGCUAAUCGUGUGUCUCCUCACAUCAACUUCUUUUACCUUGUUAUGUUGUUAAUACAUAGAUGGGCAUCUAGGUGCAAGUGGUUCUACAGGGACAAGUGUCUUGCUAUGGUGUUUGUGGCCGGGAAAGAUGUGGCAAUUCCCAGGUCUGUAAAGGUUUUAGAGUGUUCAGUCCCUCAAAGCUUUGCUCAAAACUGGUAUGAAAUGGAAGUUUGUGUAUAGUGUGUUCAGCUCCCAGUUAAUUUUAGUUUUUAAUUCAAAUGUUCGUGAUUUUGAUGAUCCUAGUGUCUUAUGGUGUUAUAGGCACUAGAUAAAGUCAAGAGUAAGUUCUGGAUCUUUGAUAGUGCAGUAAAGUGCUCUUCUGCUACUUAUCAUCUCGCUGUUUUCCUUUGUUAUCUCGCCAGCUUGUUUGUGUUCCUUGGUGAAUGAAUGUGUAGACCACAUGGUGACAGUAACAGAGUAGUAGAUUUGGGAACUUCUAAGGAUUGUAUCCGACAUGCAUUCAUGUGCUCCUUGUUUAUUGGUCUUCUUGGUCCUUGCACUUCAAAAUGGAUAUUGUUAGGCUUCAAUCAAAAUAGGGGUUCUUUAUCUUUUCUCUUGCAUCUCUCUUGAUUUCUUAGGUGAUAUGGGAACUUCUAAGGAUUGUAUGCGGUAUUCAUUCCUGUACACCUUGUUUAUUGGUCUUCUUGGUCCUUGCAGUCCAAGAUGGAUAUUGUUGGACUUCAACUAAAAUGGGUUUCUUAGUCCAUGUUUCUUGCAUUUAUAGUGUUUUCUUAGGUGAUAUGGGUUCUGUCAGCUUUGCACUUAACUGGUUCCUUUUUUUGUGCUUGUAGCUGGGUCUUACCGAGUAGGGAAUUUUUUUUCAUGGAGAGGCUUUGCUUGGCCAUUUGUGUUGAGGUUUCUUGGUUCAGAUAAUUGUAAGUAUUGAACCAAUUUGUCAAAAAUUGCUGCUGUAUGGAACUUGCCAAGCUAAGAUAGUUUUUCGUGCACUCUAUCUGGAUGUGUAUGUUCCUCGAUGAUCUAAUUGAUGAGAUUUCUAGUGGUUGAUUGGUAUCUAGUCGUAUUGACACCGGAUAAAUACUCCAAACUCAAUCCUGGAUCUCUUGACAGCACGACCGCUAUUAGACCAUCUCUUUGCUGUUCUCUCUGGCUCAUAUUCUCCGGUACCUUUUUCUUGCAUCACCCCAGCUUGAUUUUGUUUGUUGGAUGGAUGCUAGUUGAGAGGAAUAGAUUUGGAAAAUUUUGAAGAUUGAUGCCCAGUGUUCGAUAAAGUGGUUUUCCAAAGUUUUCUUUGCCAUUUUUGUGCUUGCAUUGCAAUCUGAAUAUCAUCAGGCUUUGAGAGAGGGGUUUUGCAAUCUUGUUGGCCUUUUCUCUAGUGGGUUUAGUCAGCUUUGCAUGUAACUCUUCCUUUCAUUCCUUAGCUUGCAACUAUUGGGUCCUACAAAGCAGUAAAUUCUUCUUUUCAUGGAGGUACCUUAUUUUUGUCCAUAUGUGUUGAGGUUUCAUUAAGUCUUUUAUGAGUAUAGAUAAAUUUCUCUUCCCUAUUGACUCCUUUGUCUUUGUCAUAACUACUGUUGUAUGGUAUUUUUUUUCAAUUAGAACAUCAUUUUCACCAAUGUGUACUGUAUUUUGCUGCCUUGGAGUUCUUAGUUCAGAUGCUUAUGUUCUUAUGGUGGUACAAUUGAUAAGGUCUCUUAUAGUGAUAAUGUCUCUUACUCUCUUAUGGCUAUGGAUACCUGAUAAGUACUUGACCAAUGCUGGAUCUUCUGAUAGUGGCGUAUAUACUUCUGAACUUUUCUUCUUUUAGCUACUUAACAAACUGCUCUCAUUUUUUUGUUAUAUCACUAGUUUUUUUGGUUGUCCAGAUGUGUAGACCAUGCGGUGACCACUAUUAUGGACGUUUAGAUUUGGAGAUUUAAAAGCUUGGUUAACUAACACGUGAUCCUUUGCCUCCUUUUGAUCUUUUUGGUGCUUGCAUUGCAAUCUGGAUGUUUUCUGGAGUCUGACAAAAGGGGGUUUCAGUCUCAUCUAUAGCAUCUCUAGUGAUCAGUUAGGUGGUUUUGGGUUCAUCAGGUUUGCUCUAACUGUUUCCUUCUUUCUUUUCUUGCAGCCAUUGCCCAGGGCAGUGAAUUUUUCUUUUCAUGGAGCUUCUUUAGUCAAGUCUUCUAUGAGUAGAGAGAUUUUCGAUUCAAUCUCUUACCUAGUGGCCUUUUGUCUUUGAUCAAAGCGAGUGUUGUAUGGAAGUUUUUCAACUAGGACAUUAUUUUUCACCGGUGUGUGUUGUAUUCUGCUGUCAUGAAGUUUGUCCAGAUGCUUAUGUUCUUUAAUCCUCCAAUUGAUGAGUUCUUCUAUGGCUUAUGGAUCCUUGAUAAGUACUCGUCCAAUUCUUGAUUUCAUUUGAUAGUGGCGUAGAAUACUUCUUUACUUUUAUUCUACCUACUUGCUUAACUUCUCUGCUUCCCCGUAUUUUUCGUUGCCACACUGGUUUGGUUUGGUUGGAUGAAAAUGUACUAGUAUACUCGGCCAUGUGUUGUUUUGGUUGGAUGGAUAUGUAGUAGACCAUGUGGUGUCACCGUUAUGGACGUUCAAAUUUGGAAAUUUCAAAGGUUGGUUUACCAACAUGAGAUCCUCUGCCAUCUUUUGGUCUUUCUAGUGCUUGCACAACAAUCUGGAUAUUGUUCGGGCUUCGACCGAAGCCAUGGUAACAUGGCAAUGAAUUAUUCUUUUCAUGGAGUGGAUGUGCUUGCCUGCUUGUGAUGAGGUCUUUUCAGUUUAAGUUUUAUGAGUAUCAAAAUUUUUUAUUAGGUUUUAUUCGGGAGUUCCUCUACUAAGAUAGUAUUUUUCACUAGUGUGUGUUGUUGUUCUGCUGCUGUGAAGUUUGUAAUCCAGACACUAUGUACUUCGAUGAUCCAAUUGAUAAGGUCUCCUAUGGCGAUGGACACUUAUUAAGUAUUUAGCCAAUUUUGGACUUCUCCUUAGACAGUGCCAUAAAUGGUCCUCUACAUCUGGUCUUCUAGCUACAGAUAUCGUGGUUAUCACAACUUAGUUUUUUGUUUGGAUGGAUGUGUAGACUACAGUAUAGAGGUUAAGAGAUUUGGAGAUUUCAAAGGUUGAUAUCUAGAAUGGUAUCUCUGUACCUUCUCGGUCUGUUUGAUUCCUGCACUGCAAUUUUGAUAUAUUGGUCAAGGCUUCAACAAAAACCAUUGGGUCUGACAGAGCAAUGAACUAUUCUUUUCAUGGAGCAGCUUUCUUUGUCAAUUUAUAACAAGGUUUCCGUGGUUCAGGCUUUUAUGAGUUCUGACAUUUUCAACUAAGAUAGUUUUUUUUUCAUUAGUGUGUGCUGGUAUUCUACUGCCAUUUGAGUGUUUAGUCCAGAUGCCUGUUUUCUUUGAUGAUCCAGUUGAUGAAAUUCCUGAUAGUUGAUGGUAUGGAAGUGUACUAAAUUUUGGAUCUUUCAAAACUUCAUAAAUGGUCAUCUCUUUUGGUGUUCUUGCUGCUUAUCUUCUCUGCUUCAUUUUUCUUUUAUUACGCUAGCUUGAUUUUGUUUGUUUAUUGUGGAUGUGUCGUGACAGUUGAGAGUAAUAAACUUGGAUGAAGGUUGGUGGCCAGUGUGCAUUUCUCUGCACCCUGUUUCUUUGCCAUAUUGGUGCUUGCAUUCUAGUUAGGAGAUUAUCGAGCUUUGAAAGAAGGCGGUUCUCAAUUUUGUCUGGAAUUCGUAGUGAAUUCUGUUGUGUUAUGGUCUUUGCCGGAUUUGCACUUGAACUUGUUCCAUUCUUUCUGUGCUUGCAGCUGCUGGGUCUUACUGAGUGAUAGAUUCUUCUUUUCAUGGAACGACAUGAUCUGUCAAUUUAGUAUUGAGAUUUAUUGUUUGAUGCUCUAAUGAUUGAAGUCUUUAAUUCAGUAAUCUUCCCUAGUCAAAAUGGGUCACUUCUUUCUUGUCAACAUUGCAUCAGUACUGUGUAUUUUGUUGUGAUAUUUAUUAUUUAAUAAUCCAGAUGCUUAUGUUCUUUGGUGAUCCAACUGAUGAGAUCUUUAUGGUUAUGGACAACACUUGAUAAGUGUAUCCGAACUCAAUCAUGUUUUUCAUAUGGCCCUGUAACGCAUUCAUGUACUUUCAUGCUCUCGCUACUUAACCUCUCUCUGAUUCGUUUGGAGAUUUUAUAGUAUGGUUGCAUCCAUCCGUGGACCAUGAUUCUUGCCAUUUUGGUGCAAUCUGUUUGUUGGAUAUCACCAGGCAUCAGGAACAGGGCACCUUGCAAUAUUAUCUUGUUUGGCAUCUCUAGUGCUCUCUCAUGCAUGGUAUUUUCUACUUGCCUGUUACGUUCUUUUUGUGCAUGCGACGAUUGGGGCUUCCAGCAUGAAACUCAGGUUUCUUCCUAAUCAGUAGGUCCCUUUUCUCUUUGUCAAAACUUCUGUUGUGUGGAAGUUCUCAAGAAUAAUAUUUUUCACUAGUGAGUGUUAUACUCUGUUGACAUGAAGUAUUUAGUCUAGAUGCAUUUUCUUGGAUUUACCCACGAUGAUUAGAUCUCUGAUUGCAAUGGACACCUGAGGAGUACCCAAGCACAAUUUUGUAUCUUCUUAUGGCCCAUGGAGCUCCUCCUACUUCGGUGUUCGUGCUACUUAUUGCCUGUUACAUUCUUAUUGUGCAUGCAACGGUUAGGUCUUCCAGCAUGAACUUCAACUCAGGUUUCUUUCUAAUCACUAGGUCCCUUUUCUCUUUGUCAACUAACCUUUUGUUGUGUGUGAGUUCUGAAGAAAUGAUAAUAUUUUUCACUAGUUUGUGUUGUACUCUGCUGGCAUGAAGUUUUUAGUCUAGAUGCUUUUUCUUGGAUUUAUCCAAAUGAUGAUGAGACCCUGAUUGCUAUGGACACUUGAGAAGUACCCAAGAUCAAUUUUAUAUCUUCUUAUGACUCAUGGAGCUCCUCCUACUUCGGUGUUCGUGCUACUUAUUACCUGUUAUGUUGUUUUUGUGCGUGCAACGGUUGGGUCUUCCGGCAUGAAAUUCAACUCAGGUUUCUUUCUAAUCACUAGGUCCCUUUUCUCUUUAUCUUAACCUUCUGUUGUGUGGAAGUUCUCAAGAAAUGAUAAUCUUUUUCACUAUUGUGUGCUGUACUCUACUGGCACGAAGUUUUUUUGUCUAGAUGCUUUUUCUUGGAUUUAUCCAAAUGAUGAUGAUAAACCUGAUCGUUACGACGCCUGAGAAGUACCCAAUCUCAUUUUUAUAUCUUCUUAUGGCCCGUGGAGCUACUCCUACUUCGGUAUUCGUGCUACUUAUUACCUGUUAUGUUCUUUAUGUGCAUGCAAUUUGGCAUGGACUUCAACUAAUUUUUCUUCCUAAUCAGCAGGUCUCUUUUCUCUUUGUCAAAACCUUCUAUUGUGUGGAAGUUCUCAAGAAAUGAUAAUAUUUUUCACUAGUGUGUGUUGUAUUCUGCUGGCAUGUAGUUUUAAGUCUAGAUGUUUUUUCUUGGAUUUAUUCAAAUGAUGAUGAGAUUCCUCAUUGUUAUGGACACCUGAGAAGUACCCAAGCUCAAUUUUAUGUCUUCUUAUGUCCUGUGGAGCUCCUCCUACUUCAGUGUUCGUGCUACUUAUCUUCUCUAUUUCCAUUUUCUUAUGUUUAUCCCACUGUUUGAUUUUGUUUGUUUGGAUGCAUGUUUGUAGACUACGUGGUGAUCAUGAGGGAACCAAAUUUGGUAUAUUUUGAAGUUUGGCCUCUGUGUGUGUCCUUCCCUUGUUCACCCUGCAUUUUGGUGCUUGCGCUUAAACUGCAAUUUGGAUAUUACCAGGCACUGGCAAGGGAGUUGCAAAUUCUUGUCUGGCACCUCUAGUGAUCUCUCCUAUGUUGCAUGGGUUUCGCAGCUUCAACUCUAACUGUUCCCUUCUUUUUGUGCUUUGCUGUUGUUGGGUCUUUCAAGAUCAGAGGGAUUCUUAUUUUCAUGGAGAAGCCUUGUUUGUCUUAGCGCUGAAAUUCCCUUAUUCAGGCUUUGUAUUAGUACCUAGGUCUUCGAUUAAGUUCUCUUCUCUCGUCAUACUGAUCCCCUUAUCUCGUUGGUGGAAGUUCUGUUAAGCGGAAGUCUUCAAUUAUGAUAACUAUCUCCACAAGUGCAUUUUCAGCUUUCAGUCCAGAUGCUUUGUUUUGCGAUGAUCAAACUGAUCAGUUAUCUUAUGGUGUGGAUCUCUGGAAAUUUCCUUCGUCCUUGGAGUUCUCUUAUAUUGUGAGGGAUUAGGAACGUUGCACAGCCCCACCCAGACCAAGUUAUGACAAUUUUGAAAUGUGAUGCUGUCUUGUCUUGCCUUCAUUCAUCAAGUGCAGCUCUCCAAUUCACCUCACUUACAUAUGGUUGUUAGACUUUAGAUAUCAAAUGGUUAUAGAGGAAUUUCCAUUUUUAUCAUUUCCCCUUGUAAUAUAUAUGAGUCUGUUCCAUUGUGCUUUAAUUUUCUCUGUUGCAUCAUCCGAAUAAUACUUUGGUAAAGAGGGAUCCGACUAUGAUUUUUAAGGUAUUCAGGUUCUUAGGAGUUGUCAUAUUUGUCCAUAUGUGCUGCUGAAGUUCCAUUAGUUCAGUCUUUUACGAGUAUAGAUAGUUUUCAGUUCAGUUCUUUCCUAAUGACUCCUUUGUCUGUCAUAACUAAUGUUGUAUGCAAGUUUCUCAAUUAGGACAUUACUUUCACCAGUGUGUGUUGUAUUCUGCUCCCAUGAAGUUCUCAGUCCUGACGCUUAUAUUCUUUGAUGAUUCAAUUGAUGAGGUCUCUUAUGGUGAUGAGGUCUCUUACUCUCUUAUGCUAUGGACAGCUGAUAAGUACUUGACCAACUCUAGAUCUUUUGUGAGUGGCGUAAAAUGCUUCUUACUUUUGUUCUUUUAGCUACUUAUCUUCCCUGCUUCCAUUUUUUCGUUGUAAAUCUUUUUUUUGGUUGUAUGGUUGGGCUGACCAUCGACGUUCAAAUUUGGAAAUUUCAAAGCUUGGUUAACCAAAAUGUAAUCCUUUACCACCUUUUGGUCUGCACUGCAAUCUGGAUAUUGUCCAGGCUUCAGUGUAUGGGAUUUGUUUUGGUCUCGUCUAUGGCAUCUCUAGUGAUGACUUGGGUGGUUUGGGGUUGUCAGAUUUGUUUUUAGCUGUUCCCUUCUUUUUGUUGUUGCAGAACACAACCAUUGGUUUCAAGGUAGUGACUUGUUCUUUUUACGGAGUGGCCAUGUUUGUCCGUUUGUGUUGAUGUUUCUUAAGUUAAGUCUUUAUGAGUAUCGAGAUUUUUGACUCAGUUUUCUUCCUUGAUGUCGUAUCUUCGUCAAAACUACUGUUUGGUAAAGAGGGAUCUGACUAUUAUUUUUUCAGAAUUCAGCUUCUUAGUUCUCUUGGAAUUUGUUGUGUAAUCAGGUAAGUGUUAGAACUAUCUUCUUUCUUACCUCCCCCAAAUCUGAGUAGAGCUGUUGGUUGGCUGCCUCUUCCUGAUGGUUAAGAGAUGUUGAUGGUGGGUCAAUUUGUGCAAGAUUUUUAAUCAGGUCUUCCAUACUGUGAUGAUGAGAAUGUUCUGUUGUCAAAUUUGAUUACAUGAUCUUACGGUUUUCACCAAGUUGUAACUGUCUAUGGUGGUUUGAAUUUGAUAUCUCUACGUAAUGUCGUACUCAUUUGUUUCAUCCCACUGCCCUCUAUAAACAUCCCGUCUUGGUCGGAAUGGGUAUGGCUGGCACCUCGAGUUCUUUUCUCCCUCCAAUAGUCUUAUCUGAUCCGGUGAGCUUAAAUUUUGUCCCAGAUGCAUGUUUCUGCUCCUUGGUUGUGUCUAUUGGAUGUUUCGAUGGAGGGGUCAAGGAUUUUUUUAGGUUUCUUACAUAUUGCAACUAGUUUUGUGUUAGCAGUGAAAGUUGACGAGUUUUGGUUAUUUACAGAAUUGGAUAGAUCUGGAUUCAUUGAUGUUGUGUCCUAUCCAGAAGUUUUCUGAUUUUGCUAUAUAGGCAUGGAACAUGAGGAGAUCUGUCAGUUGAAGAAAAAAAUGUCUGGCAAAAUACUUGGCCUCCUGUGCAGGAAGUUAGACCUGAAGGGUAAUCUUAUGGUGUAGGAUAUCAUUUUCUGGGUUUGCUGAUCUAUUUUUAAGUUGACUUGGCUGUAAAUUCUCACUUUUGUUGGUUUCUUGAAGCAUCCAAGGACUUCCUAUUUAGGUUAUGCCAAUUCCUUUCUGGUUCUGCCCGAGGUAAUGAUUGUAAGGGCAUACACCAUGCAGUUUCUGUUUUUGGAUGUCAAUAAUCUUUGUAACGAAGUAAACCUCAUAUCUGAUACAUCUUUUUCUUGCAUCUUCUCCUCUGGAACACUAUUCAGUAGAAGUUUCUCAGCCUUCCCUUGUAGAUGUUGCUCUCUAUAUUCCAUGUUAUUAGGCGAUUGACUCAUCAAAAAUCAUGAAGAGGUCUCCCUCUGAGGUCUUCUGGUUUUCUUUAUCUACCUAUAUCUUUAAAUGGAGUACGGGUGCUGGAGUAGUGGAAUUUUUACGUGUUAUCUACCAUGAACAAGUCUUAGUUGGGCAGUGAUGUUGUGUUAUCCACCCAAUUAGUUAGAUGGGGUCAUACACCUAGAAUGAGAAGGAACAAUAUCAAAGUGUUUCUGAUAAGCAGUCUGUUAUAGUCAUUAACAGUGGUUAUUAAUGUUUGACUCCUGUAUUUAGAGCAUUUAUUGUAUUUGCUUAUUUGGAUCUCUUACCUGUAAAAGCACUAGAUGUGAGUGUGCUAUUUUUGAAGUUUUGGAAGGUAUUAGCAUCUUGAAGUGGCUAGGUUGCUUUGGCUUCAGUUUGUUGUGGUAUUUCUUUUUUUAAAUAUGGCAACUGAAUGUUAUUUCUGUUUUCUCUGAGUUCCAGUUGUCCAAAUUUGCCUAAAUGUGCCAAAUAAUUUGAGUGGGGUAUUUCUCUUUACGCUCUAGUUGUCCAAUAUCGCUAGAUAACUCUGAAUGUGGUACUUCCUCUAAGAUCCAGUUGUCUGAAUUAGCCAGUUUAGAAUUAUCUGCUCAAAGAUGUUGCUUUGGAGUAACUGUGAGUCCAGCUUUCUUCCUCUUUUCUCUUAAGUUCUUAUAGCUAUUAUGAUAGCGCUAGGACUAUAAGACAUUUUUUUUGGCUAAAAUACCCAAAGUUAGUUACAUAUAAGCGUAUUUUCUCUCCUAAAGUGGAGAGAAGUUGGGAGGAUGAUGAAUCGGUUGUUGUGGAUCAUGUCAAAUAGAAAAGGUCUUAGUACGAUAUGUUAAACAGAAAAAGGUCCCGGUAUGAUCUCUUUGAUUCCUGUUUUUACAUUGACUUGUUGUAGUCAUCUUUGCAUGUUGGAAGUAUUUUAAUAUGUAUUUUGGAUUAAGAUUACAAGUUCUUCUUGUUAUUUUGAAUGGGGGUGUGUUCAACUACGCUCGAGUGUUCUAGUCCCUAAGUACUGUCUAAUGUGCUUUCUCCUAGAAUAUUUAUUAAUCUAUGUGCACCUUGCUGUGUAUGGGAGGAUGAGUGUUCUAUUAAGGUGGCAGUGUCGGUGUCUUAAUUAUGAGUUAAAACAGAAUGUUCUAGCUGUGUAUGGGAGGAUGAGUGCUCUAUUAAGGUGGCAGUGUCGGUGUCUUAAUUAUGAGUUAAAACAGAAUGUUCUCAAAAUAAUUGUCUCCCCUCACAUGUCGAAAUGCAGUUACUGAAUAUAGGUAAUAUUUUAACUAUUAUAGGUGUGAAGUAGCUUUCUGUUUUGGGCUGUUGAUGAGUUGGGUAUAUAUUUUUUUGGCUUAUCUCACAUGCUUAUUUGGUCCCUUUUGGUUUGGGAUUGGUAUUUGUGGAUUUGUAUCUUUGAUGUGAUAAAGCUUGAGUACAGGGAAGCGAGGAAAUACUUUUUCCCAAAAAGUGGACUGAUGGAAGUUUAAUUCUGGAAGAAGCACUUGAUGAAGCAUCCCGAAAUUUCAUGUGUGUAGUGAUGUUACUGGUGCAAAAAGUUUAUAUCAGGGUUCAUGUUAUUCUCUCUCUGUGCAAAUACGUUAUUGCUCUAGAACUGGAGAGUCUACUUUUUGGAUAUUAUAUAUACUUUUAGUUUUUGAAGUUGGUAUGUUAUUGUGGAGUUUGCGAAUGCAACUUCAUCAUGGUAGAGAUGUAUUUGAGUUGUAAGAUAGAAUUGAUUUUGUAGUAGGGUUAGUUUAUUUGAUGCUACAUUUUGUGUUUAGGGAAUCCUUGUAAUUCUGCCUGUUAAAUCCCCAAGCCCGGACCAAGGAGAAGGGAAGGUGUGUUAGUAUGAAAUUAGUUCCAUGUUCUUUUUAAUUAAUAGAAAUGUUUCUGGAGUUACAUAUGACCAUGGUGCCUCCCUAAUCAGAGUGAGUCCCUUCUCUCUUGUCAAAACACUGUUUAGUGUGUAUUUUGUUUCCAUAUUUGUUUUUUAAUGAUCCAGAUGCUUUAUGUUCUUUGGUUAUCCAACUGGUGAGGAUCUCCAUGGUUAUAGACAAGACAUGAUAAGUGUAUUCAAAUUCAAUCGUAUUCUUUUGAUGGCCCUGUAAAGCACUCCUAUUCUUUUCGUGAUCUUGCUACUUACCUUCUAUGAUUUCGUUUAGCCUACAAGUUGAUUUAGUUUGGUUGGAUGAAUAUCUGUAGGCCACGAGGUGGUCGAAAGAGGAUGAUAAUUGGAUGCUUUGUAGUUUGGUUUUGGUGUACAUACCCUGUGGACCAUGUUUUUUGCCAUUUGGUGCUUGCAUUGCAAUCUGGAUAUUGGGAAUCACCAGGUAGUAAUAAAAAGGUGCUUUUGCAAUCUUAUCUUGUUUGGCAUCUCUAGUGAUCUCUCCUGCGUGGUACGGGUUUCCACUUACCUGUUAUGUUGUUUUUGUGCAUGUAACCAUGGGUUUUCCAGUGUUAUGUUCUUUUUGUGCAUGUAACCAUGGGUUUUCCAGUGCAUGAACUUCAAGUUUUCUUCCUAAUCAAUGAGUCCCUUCUCUUUGUCAAAACUACUAUCAUGUGGAAGUUCUGAACGAUGAUAUUUACACUAGUGUCUGUUGUACUCUGCUGCGAUAAAGUUCUUUAGUGUAGAUGUUUUUUUUUGGAGGGUCCAAAUGAUGAGACCCCUGAUUUUCAUUUACACCUAAGAAGUACCGAAACUCAGUUUUAGAUCUUCUUAUGGCCCUAAGAGCUCCUCUUCUUUGGUGUUCUUGCUGCUCUUCUGCUUGCCAUGCCUCUUGAUUUUGUUUGUUUGGAUGCAUGUUCGGUGAUCAACAUGGUGAUCGUGAGGGGAACAUAUUUGGUAAUUUUGAAGUUUGGUUUCAGUGUGUCCUUUGGUUGUGCACCCUGUUCCUUCGUCAUUUUGUUGCUUGCCCUUGCACUGGAAUUUGGAUAUCACCAGCCACUGGCUAGGGAGUUGUUCUAUCUUGUCUUGCAUCUCUCUACUGAUCUCUCCUCUGUUUAUUUUUGGAGAUCUCUCCCUCUAUUGUUAACAUUUUUUUGGAAAAUGUGUAUUAUGUUCAGAUAUUCAAUCAUUUACGGAGUUGCUUUAGUCUGUUAGCCGUUGUGUAAACAGCACAUUGUUUUUGCCACAGAACAUUGCCAUUUGAACAGUCAAUUCAUUGAAUCUAGAAUAGAUGAAGUAAAAAACAUGGCUUAUCUUUUGUGUAACAAGUCAUGUACACUCUUUAUGUUAUUUAUCAACACAACCAGUUUUGUGUUGCCAGAGACGGUUGAUGAUUUUUGGAUAUUUAUAGAAUUCAGUAGGUCUAGAUUUGUUGGUGCAGUUGUAUAUCCGCGAGUUGCAGAAAAGAAUGUCCGCAGAAUGCUUGGUCUCCUGUGUUGUGGACGUGAGACCUGAAGGAUGAGAUGAUAACGCAGGGAAUCUCUUUAUGGGUUUUGCAAUUUUAUUUUGAAGUUUGAAUUUGCUGUGAAUUCUUACUUUUGUUUGUUUCUCAAGGCAUCCAAGGACUUCCUGUUUAGGUUAUGCCAAUCUCUUUCUGAUUCUACCCGAGGUAAUGAUAGUAAACAUAUAAACCAUGCAGUUUCCGUUGUUGGAUAUCAAUAAUCUUUGCAGUGCUGUAAACCUCAUCUCUGGUACCUGCAACAGAUAUAUUUUCUUGCAUCUUCUCCUCGGGAACACUAUUCAGUAGAAGUUUCUGAGCCUUCCCUAGUAUAUGUUGCUCUCUAUAUUCAUUUUGUUAUGACUAAUUUCCUGCUCAAGUCUUCUGGUUUUUAUAAUCUACCCAUAAGCUUUAAAUGGUGUGUAGGUGCUAGAGUAGUGGAAUUUUAAUGUGUUAUAUAUCAUAAAUAAGUUUUAGUUGGCAGUGACAUUGUGUCAUCCAACCAAUUAGUUAGGUGAGUUCAUGCAGCUAGCAUGAGAAGGGAUGAGAUUAAGGAGUUUCUGAGAAGCGAUCAGUUAUGUCUUUUAAAACGGUUUUGAUAAUGUUUGACUUCUGUUUUUUGAAGCGUUUGUUGUAUUUGCUCAUUUGGAUCUCUUACCUAUAAAACAACACUACACAUGUGAGUGUACUAUUUUUUGAAGUUGACGAAGGUAUUAGCAUCUUGUAGUAGCUAGGAUAGUUUGGCUUCUGUUUGUCAUGGUAUUUCUUAUCUAAAUAUGGCCACUGUAUGGGGUAUUUCAGUUCUAAAUAUGACCACUGUAUGGGGUAUUUCAGUUCUAAAUAUGACCACUGUGUGGCGUAUUUCUGUUCUCUUUGUGCUCCAGUUCAAGUUUGCGAGAUAAUUUGAGUGGGUAUUUCUCUUUUUUUAAGAUCCAGUUGUACAAUUUCCAGAUAAAUCUGAAUGGGGUACUUCUGUUCUUCUAAGCUCCAGUUGUCUAAAUUUGUCAGCCAAGAGUUAUCAGCCUCAAGAUGUUGCAUUGGAGCAACUGUUGGUCCACAUUUGUUCCUCUUUUCUCUCAAACACUUUUUGUUACUCCGGUAGCAUUAGAAUUAAAAGGGAAUAUUUUUUUCGGCUAAAAUACAUGAAUUCAGUUCCAUAUAAGUGGAUUUAAUCUCCAAAAGUGGUGAAAAGUUGGGAGUAAAUCGGUUGUUGUGGAGCAUGUUUGACAGAAAAGGACCUAUUAUGAUGUGGAGCAUGUUAAACAGAUAAACGUCCUGGAAUGAUCACUUGGAUUCCUGUUUUUACAUUGACCUAUUCUGGUCAUUUUUUCAUGUUGGAAGUACUUGAAUAUCUAUUUUGGAUUAAAAUUACAAGUUGUUCUUAUUAUUUUGUGGGGGUGGGUGUUCAAUUACACUUGAGUGUUCUAGUCGCUCAUUACUAUCUAAUGUGCUUUCUCCUACAAUGUGUAGUGAUUAUUAAUGUAUGUGCACCUUGCAGGAUAUGAGUGUUCUAUUAGAGCGGCAGUGUCGGUGAUAGAGUGUGAACUGAGUGAGAAUUGGAUACUCCCAGAAUAAUUGUCUCCUCUCACUGUCUCACGUGUAUGAAAUGCAGAUACUGAAUAUAAGUGGUAUAUAGGUACUAUUCUAAAAAGUAUAGGUGUGAAGUAACUUUCUGAUUUGGGUUGUUAUGAAGAGUUGGGAUCUCUUUGUUUGGCUUAUCUCACAUGCUUAGAUUGGUCUCUUUUGGUUUGGAAUUAGUAUCUUGGAUAUAGUAAAGCUUGAGUUCAGGGAAAACAAGGAUAUACUUUUUCUCAAAACAUGGACUAAUGGAAGUUUAACUCUGGAAGAAGCACUCGAUGAAGCAUCCCGAAAUCUUGAUGAAGCACUUGAUUCCAUGUGUAGUGAUGAAGCUGAUGCAAAAAUUUAUUUCAAGGGCAGGACCAAGUCUACUUAACUACCAAGUCUUCUUGUACAACAACACAACAGACCCAGUGCAAUUCCAAAAGUGAUAGCAUAAGUGGGGUCUGGGAGGGAAGGACGUAAGAAGACCAUACAUUUCAACUUUGAGGAACAAAAAGGCUUCUCUAGUAGAUCUUGGAGGUCAUUUCCCAGUCUGUUCCUCUCUGUCUUCAUUUCCAAGUUGUUCCUCGACUUUUUGUGUUUAUGUUUGAAUACACAUUUAUUUGAAGAUUAUUUGGUUAGUUUCUAUGUAAUCUCACAUUGUUUCGGCAACAAUAGCAGUUCUCCUUGUGGUUUCUUUUGUAGUAGUGUUGAUUUAUCUGUUGCUGCAUUUUGUGUUUAGGUGACCCCUGUAACUCCGCCUGUUAAAUCAGCCGGUCCCAAGCCCGGACUAAGGAGGAGGGGAAGGUGUUCACGUUUCUAGAGUCUCCUAUGAGCAAUUAUGGCAUCUCUAAUUACAAGUAUCACUUAUUAGUAAUGUACAUUGGAUGAAAUGUAAAGAGAUGCAAUUUAUUUAUGAUCCACCUUAGCACUGGAAUUAUUGUUUUCCUCAUUGGUGUCUUUUGAUGGUUUCCAGCACGGAAUUCACCUAGGGGUUCUCGUUACAUGUGCCGAUUCAGGAAUCACGUGUGCUAUGCAAUAUAUGAAUGUCUGUUCAGGAAUCAUGAAUGUGCUCCUCUCUUGAUUGA